AUUGUUGAGCAAUUCCACGCCGCGAAGCAGGCGAUCGCGGGCGUCAGUGGAGAAGACU
rnacentral:sRNA from 1 species